AUAUAUAUAUAUAUAUAUAUGGUGUGAUAUCUAUGGAACGGUAUAUCUUUAGUUGGAAGACGAAGGCUUUGUUUUAUGGAAGAAACUAAUAUUAUUCUUCCUGAUUUUGUUGUGAAGAUGGAUGUUUUGUUAUGUGAUUUGUAGUUAAAAGGAGUUAUUACUUACAACCAGUUCUAUCUUUGUUCAAUUACUUAAUAAUUUGUUUUUUUGAUCCUUUUAGUUAAAUUAAUGACCAGUCUCAUCUUGUUUGAACUAUUAAUUAUUGGAAUUUCUUGAUAUAUUUAUGGCUUGGCCUAAUGGAAAACAACAGAACAAAACUGUGACAUGCAAUGGAGAAUAUCGUCAACAAUGAGCUACAGAGAAGUAAGAACAGAGCAGGAUCAUGAAUGGCAUCAAUGAGACAUUAAUUUAGAAUAACAUUCCAACAACACUUGAUGAAAAUCACAAUCAAUUGCAAUCCAUAGGCCAUAGAGGAGAGAAAAGCCUUACGUUAUCUAAACCUCUUAGAUACCCGUAAGUCGUUUGCCAGUGAAAAACAAUUACAUCUCCUAGUGACACC
rnacentral:misc_RNA from 1 species